UACGGGGGGGGCAAGCGUUGUUCGGAAUUACUGGGCGUAAAGGGCGCGUAGGCGGCCUGCUAAGUCGGAUGUGAAACUCCCUCGGCUCAACCGAGGAACUGCAUCCGAUACUGGCGGGCUUGAAUCCGGGAGAGGGAUGUGGAAUUCCAGGUGUAGCGGUGAAAUGCGUAGAUAUCUGGAGGAACACCGGUGGCGAAGGCGGCAUCCUGGACCGGUAUUGACGCUGAGGCGCGAAAGCUAGGGGAGCAAACGGG
rnacentral:rRNA from 1 species